GUCAGACUGGUUCCAUAGUAGAACCUUCACUGUAAAAAUGUCAUAUUAUGGUGUGUUGCUUAAAAACAUUGCAACCAGCUGUCUAGGAGCGACACAAAAACAGGACAAACGCUGGUUUCCAGGGGGUUGAAAGAGUAAGUUUACAACAACACAACAUGUGAGCAGAAAAAUCACAAAGUGUGUCUUUAUGUGGCCGGAUGGUUUCUCCCUCCUAGCCACUGUGUGGCACUGUGCUAUUUCAAUCAUCGCUGUGACAGCGGGGUGGUAUCCGGCGCCGCUGCAUAUAUAUACACAGGUGGGUGGUUUCACCUCAGUCUCAUGCUUUCUCUUGAGCUCUCCCCGUGGUGGUAACUGCAGCCAAGCGGGCUGGAUCUGGCGUGAUCAAUCGGGACGCACAUCACAUCAUCGGUACAGGUAAUGGGCUUUUCCCCCUUCCCUUUUGUGAUGUGCAGCGCAUUUAGUGACAGCCUGCUUUACUUUGUUUAGUGACGCUGGGAGACGGGUCGCUCCGUUCAGCGUGCCGUGGGUGCUUCUGUGACGACAGGGUUUGGUGAGCCUCGGCGGCAGUUUAAUCCCUGGUGGUGGUUCACGGAUCCCUUUUCGUUGGUGUGUUGUCACAGGUGUGAUUAUUUGGACCCCCUUUUUCUUCCUUUUGGUUAUUUGUUUGCCUGCCGCCAUGGUAAGCCAGCCUGCUCCCUUUAUUGUUUAAGUUUAGUACUCCUGAUUCUCUCUUUUAAACUGGUGGCUUGCUUUUUAUAUUUAAUGCCAUAAUUAAUAAAGAAAUUGUUGUAUUUUUGGAAA